AUUGAACGCUGGCGGCAUGCCUUACACAUGCAAGUCGAACGGCAGCACGGGUGCUUGCACCUGGUGGCGAGUGGCGAACGGGUGAGUAAUAUAUCGGAACGUACCUUAUCGUGGGGGAUAACGCAGCGAAAGCUGCGCUAAUACCGCAUACGCCCUGAGGGGGGAAAGCGGGGGGACCGUAAGGCCUCGCGCGAUUAGAGCGGCCGAUAUCUGAUUAGCUUGUUGGUGGGGUAAAGCCCACCAAGGCGACGAUCAGUAGCUGGUCUGAGAGGACGAUCAGCCACACUGGGACUGAGACACGGCCCAGACUCCUACGGGAGGCAGCAGUGGGGAAUUUUGGACAAUGGGGGCAACCCUGAUCCAGCAAUGCCGCGUGAGUGAAGAAGGCC
rnacentral:rRNA from 1 species